UGGGGAAUAUUGCACAAUGGGCGCAAGCCUGAUGCAGCCAUGCCGCGUGUAUGAAGAAGGCCUUCGGGUUGUAAAGUAUUUUCAGCGGGGAGGAAGGGAGUAAAGUUAAUACCUUUGCUCAUUGACGUUACCCGCAGAAGAAGCACCGGCUAACUCCGUGCCAGCAGCCGCGGUAAUACGGAGGGUGCAAGCGUUAAUCGGAAUUACUGGGCGUAAAGCGCACGCAGGCGGUUUGUUAAGUCAGAUGUGAAAGCCCCGGGCUCAACCUGGGAACGGAAUCUGAUACUGGCAAGCUUGAGUCACGUAGAGGGGGGUAGAAUUCCAGGUGUAGCGGUGAAAUGCGUAGAGAUCUGGAGGAAGACCGGUGGAGAAGGCGGCCCCCUGGACGAAGACUGACGCUCAGGUGCGAAAGAGUGGGGAGCAAACAGG
rnacentral:rRNA from 1 species